CGGCAUCUUUCUGACCUCCCCCGACUGUCCGAGCUUCCAUAAUGCCAUCCAGACUUCUCUGAUAAUGAGCUCCCCCAUUCAUCUACCGGACUGCUCCAAAUGCUCUCCGAGCUUCAUUAUCAACCGACUUUCUACAGUGAUUGGCUACCCUCUGAAUCUCUUUCAAACUUCUUCUUGCCACGAGCGACUUUAUUCCGAACUUCUUUCGAGUUUCGUCAAUGUCCGAGCUUCUCCAACAG
rnacentral:lncRNA from 1 species